rnacentral:rRNA from 1 species
AACGAACGCUGGCGGCAGGCCUAACACAUGCAAGUCGAACGCCCUAGCAAUAGGGAGUGGCAGACUGGUGAGUAACGCGUGGGAAUAUCCCCCUCAGUACGGAAUAGCCCAGGGAAACUUGGAGUAAUACCGUAUACGUCCGUGAGGAGAAAGAUUUAUCGCUGAGGGAUUAGCCCGCGUAGGAUUAGCUAGUUGGUGAGGUAACGGCUCACCAAGGCGACGAUCCUUAGCUGGUCUGAGAGGACGAUCAGCCACACUGGGACUGAGACACGGCCCAGACUCCUACGGGAGGCAGCAGUGGGGAAUAUUGGACAAUGGGCGCAAGCCUGAUCCAGCCAUGCUGCGUGAGUGACGAAGGCCUUAGGGUUGUAAAGCUCUUUUGGCGGGGACGAUAAUGACGGUACCCGCAGAAUAAGCCCCGGCUAACUUCGUGCCAGCAGCCGCGGUAAUACGAAGGGGGCUAGCGUUGUUCGGAAUCACUGGGCGUAAAGCGCACGUAGGCGGACUUUCAAGUCAGGGGUGAAAUCCCGGGGCUCAACCUCGGAACUGCCUUUGAUACUGUUGGUCUCGAAUCCGGUAGAGGUGGGUGGAAUUCCUAGUGUAGAGGUG